rnacentral:ncRNA from 1 species
UAUAAGUUUGAUUCUAACUUAAUUUUUUAUAUUUUAUUUAAAAGAUGCAUGCAAUAUUUGAAAGGUUACUAUAAUUAGAUAAUUAUAUAUUAUUACACUCGCAGCAUAUUAUAUUAAAAAUAAAUUAAAGUUUGAUUUAAUAAGUAAAGUAAGAUUUGGCUAAAACUUGUGCCAGCUGCCGCGGUUAUACUCUAAAAUCAAGUAAAAAUCAAUUAGUUGGUAGUUAAUUAUUUUAAUUUUUAUAUAAUUUUGUUUUAAUAAAAGGUGAUAUUAGACUGUUAACUAUAUAAUUUUAUACUAUUAAAUAUAUGUGAAACUAUUGAAUUCAAGAUUAAAACUAGAAUUAGAUACUCUAUUAUUCUUGACCCUAAAAUAAACUCUUAAAUAUUAUAAGUUAUGUUCUUUAAAUUUAAAGAAUUUGGCGGUAAUUUAGUCCAGUUAGAGGAACCUGUUUUUUAAACGAUGAUCCCCGUAAAAUCUUACCUAUUUUAUUUUAGUUUGUAUACCGUCAUUAUUAGAUAAUUUUGAUAAAAUUAAUUAUUUAAAUAUAUUUAUUAUAAUAUAUUAGAUCAAGGUGCAGCUUAUAGAUAGGUUAAAAUGGGUUACAAUUAAAUUUAUUUAUUAUGAAUUUAAAAUUUAAAUAUUUUUUUGAAAGUGGAUUUAAUUGUAAAUUUAAUUUAAUAAGUUAAAUUGAUAACGGCUCUAGAUUAUGUACAUAUCGCCCGUCGCUUUCAUUUUUAAAAUGAAAUAAGUCGUAACAUAGUAGGUGUACUGGAAAGUGCCCCUGGAUAUAA